ensembl:lncRNA
GUUCAAGAUGUGUUGUUGGGCUUAUGUUAGCUGUUCUUACUGCCAUGGAAAUUACUAACUGAUCACAGAGGUGAAGUCACCAGUUUCCGCUGUAGAGAUGUCUGCUGAGCAACAGGUUUCUGACACUCCCUCAGGGGGCAUCUGCAUCCCAAGUGCUGACUGCAUGGAGAAGAUUGUCUGCAAUACUGUUGAGGUCAUGGGACAUGUACCAAGCUGCCUGACUGAUGGUUGCAGGUGUAACUGUGCGUGUGUCAGAGAUGUCAUAUCUACCAGCUCCAGAGCUCAGGAUGCAGAAACAAGCCGAGUUUCUGUACAGUUUGCAGGAAAUGUGGUUGUUGCUGCUGGGGUCGCAAAUACAUGUGGCACCAGCGCACAUUUAGAGGCUUGCUUGUUGCCGGAUCCUGUAAAUGAGCUGAGGCUCAGAAAUGGCCAAAUGGUUGUCGGUGGGGAUGACCUCACUGGGAAUGAGGAGUGCAACUCUGAUGACACACCUGCAGUUUGUAUGAGCAGAUCACAGGGGACAGUGUCAUUAGCUCAAGAUAAGGUCUCAGAAGAGGGGAAUGCCAGUGGAUGCACGAAAGAACCAGCAUCGGUUUACAAGGGAAUGAAGGAUGUCACUGCAUGUCGAGGCAGUGACUCAGAGCUGUCUGGCAUAUCUUCCGAAGGAAGGAUUGCUGUGGACAACUGGAUGAAUGCAGACUCAUACAUGAUUAUCACAGGAGACCUCAUUCAAGAUCACAGCAUAGAGAUGCAAUGGGACCGGGACAGCCCUAAGUUAGCAGGUGGGGUUUGUAUGGCACCACACACCGAGGACUAUGCUGGAAAGCUGAUGUUCAAAACCCAAGCCUGUGAAGAGAUCAGCCCACACAAUUUAGAUGAGGAAUGGUGGUUCCCUCAAGUGAAUGAAGAUACCCGGGGGACACUAGAUACACAGGAGGACGUCUGGCUUGGUCAGGAGUUCUCUAAGCCAAACACAGCUAGUUUUACUCUGGCUUGUGGAUAUGUUACAGCAGCUACCACUGGUCUGGGAAUGGAAGCUAUAUCUCUCUGGAAUAUGGCUGUGGAAUCCCACGAUCACAGAAAGGUGACUGUGUGUACAAUUGAUGAAAUCUUCAGAAUACCUGAAUACUCUGAUGCAGUGCCGGAAUCACAGUCCUCAAAGGUAAAUAAGACUGGAAGUACAAAACACGCUGAGUUCCCAGAAGGAGAAGAAAGUGGAGCAGCACAGCUCUCGGCUUCCAUCAGCAACCCCCCUGCUGUCUUCUCAAUCUGUCCUAGCAGACAGAAUAACAGUGAGAUCCCAGACAUUACCACACUACACCCAAGCUGGUGGGAAGGAGCACUUCCCACAGAUCCCACAUUAGGAGGUCAACAAGAACUUGACAAGAAUCUGUCGCAUGGAUCCCCCAAAACAAACAACAAACUCUCCAGGCUCAACUCAAGGUCCAUGCAUGAAAUAACUCUCACUAAAGAGGCAUUUCAUAAGAAGUUCUUGGAAGACAGCAAGGUUCAAACAGAAGAAAAUGAACAAAUUAAAUUCCUCAGUGAUAAACAAUCUGUUUCAAACAGUCGCAAAGUUUCUAGUCUGAAUUUUGAAAAUGAAUCAUUGCCUUCCAGAGAUCCAUUGCAGGUGGUGACUAUUGAUCCCAAGCAGAACAAAUCCAUUCACACCGUCAGGGAACUCAGUCAAGAGCUCUCCAGUCUAAUCAUACUGACAGGCGACAGACUGAUGCUCUCUAAGGAAGGCUGCAUUGCCUACUUCACACUUGACCUUCACGUUAUGUCAGAUUACACAACUUCACUCUAUGCGGUGGAUGUACACUCUCAGAUGUCCUUGGAAAAGACAAAAAAUAAUUGCAAAACUGAAGACAGGGAGAAGGUCAGAAUGGCUCCCAGCAAGUCUGAAACACAUUGGGACUGUGAAAUGGUCCCAAGACAGCAGCCAGGGGCUGACAUUGCCAAUUGUGUUAUCAAGACCUGGGAAGCUGAAACUAGGACCACCAAACAGGGAGAAUGCCCGAGUAGCGAACCUCCACUGGUGCCUGCCUUGCUAAUUGAAAGCAAAGGAAAGGAAAAGCAAUCUGCCACAGUGACCAAGACUGCUGCUGCAAUGGAACCCAAUGUCACCAAAUCCUGGGGGGAAGAUAAAAGAAAACAUUCCUCAACCCAAACAAAGAGUUUUCAUCUUGGCGCAGCCAAUGAAAAUCUGUUAAAUCUCUGCAACAGUAAAGGUGGAUCACAGACAGAGAAUAAUGGCAGGAAGGACAAAUUUCCAGUUAGUCAUCCAGUGAGAACUAAGAGAGACAAGGUCUCAGGUUCAGUGAUCCAUAAAAGGCCUUACACUGAAGUGGGAAGAGAUCAAGUGCUCAUAAAGAAGGAAGCCCCUAGAGUUUUGCGGGACAUCUGGGUAGAAAGGGAUGAAGCUGCCUCUGUUGGGCUCAGGCUGCAAUGCCUGUUGGGACACAUCACCGAAGACUGC